AUGGCUCCUUCAGUUGUGAGGUCAUCAAUGUGCUCACUGAAUUCGCAUUCACGCCAUGGUGAUGCCUGUGUUCUCGCUCAGUGUCAGGACCAGAAGUCCAGGCCUAGCCUACCCCUUGCUCUGAAGUCUGCCUACUGCAUCCACAGUUCUGUCUGACACUGACUUGUCUUGACCUGUCUCUCUCUCUCUCUCUCUCUCUCUCUCUCUCUCUCUCUCUCUCUCUCUCUCUCUCUCUCUCUCUCUCUCUCUCUGCACUGCACACUCCCAUUUCCUUUCGCAAGGCAAGGUUCUGUAGUCAUUUCCUCCUCCGUUAAAACCUUCCACCUUGGAAGGAAGCUCCCUGAAACACGCGGUGUUAAAGGGGAAUGGAUGAACAGGAUAUUGGAAGAGGAAGGAAAUACUCCAUGAUGAAGUUUAAACUUAGGAAGUAAACAGCCCAAAGGAGCUUCCAGAAGUCACUGAAAAAGACCAGACUCACUAGGCCGCUCAGGCCCCCAUGUACACAAGCAGUAAGGACCGACUGAAAACCCAGGAAGAAGCAGACGCCAGCCAAGGUGCCUGGCAGAGGCUCAGACCAGCACACACUCUCCGACCUGUUUGGCCAUGAGCACGUUGUGCAGUGUGGUCUAGAAUUUCAGCUUUAGUGAGUUCUUACCCAUGCUGGGAUGGGUUUUGGUGAUGUACAGCAGCUGUUUCUCAGGCAUAUCUGCUUUUGUCAGUCAGCUCAAUAGUACUCACUGGCUCACCAAGCUGCCAGCUCCCUCUCUGGUGUGAGGAGAUCUCUGUUCCCACUUCCCCGUGAAGAGUGUUACCCAACAGACACGUUGCUACCAUCCCUCUGCCUCAGGCUUCCACUUCAGCAUCAUUCAGUGGCCAUUUCCAGAACAAUGAUGUACGAGCCUUAGGCUGGAGACAAAAAGUCGGGGGUCACUGGCCUCAUUCUCAGGGAUCUUCUAUCUCUCCCAAGAACUCCAAUUGCUACUGCAGUGACGUCUCUCAGCAGGCAAUGUGUGACUCCACUCAGCCGAUGCACAUUCUUUUUAAAUGGUCGCUUGCCUUCAGACAGAGGUGACAGGCCAUGAACACCUGAAGCAACACUGCACAUCGUGAGCAUGUGUCUUCAGUUUUCAUCCCUCCCUGACUUUCCGUCUCCACCCCUCCACUGCUCCCAACCCCGACCUGAGUGCCAGUCUCAGAGUCAGGCAUGGGAUUACAGUGGUCUUCCAACUCAAGUGUUGUCUUCCAACAAACCAACUGAAAGUGACACAGUCUAGUAUCCAGCUAAAACAAUAAACAGUCUUCCUAGUUCCAGA